rnacentral:lncRNA from 1 species
UGGGAAACCAGGCUGCUAGAGGCAAGAUGCAGGGCAGAAGGCUGAUACUCCAAGAGACUGAAAAAUAGCCAAGAGAAAUAAUGGAGCUGGAUAAGAAGUCAAAGUCCUUCUGUGGCAGGGGCCCUUUAUCUAUUUCCUGCCAAAGGGCCAAGACCACCUAAGUUCAAUUUCCUGCUCUGCUACAUACUAGCUAUCAGACUUGGGCAUAGAAUGAUGCAGCAAGAAGGCCCUUGCAAGACGCCAGCCACUUGAUUUUGAAAUUCCCAGUCAGAACUGUAAGAAAUAAAUUUCUGUUCUUUAUUAAUUACCCAGUCUCAGGUAUUCUGUUGUACCAGCACAAAAUGGACUAAGACAGUCAUAAUGAUUUAUCCUAUUUAUAUGUUGCUGAAUUCUAUUUGAUAAUAUUUGGUUUGAAUUUUUUCAUUUAU